CACAUGAGGCACGUCUACACUUCAUUCAUCACUUCCACCUCUUCAUACCACAAACAGUAAUGGAUCCCUUUAUUAAGUCCAAUGUUCUCUUGCACAUGGCUCAAGACAUGGAAGCUGAUGACGACGAACUUGAGUUAGCGACCAUCCGCUAUGUAAGGAGCCGCCGUGAACGCAACCAGCAUCGACAUGGUGGUUCCGUUCCGGGCCGAGUUCGGAUCCCCCGAAACCAUUUUGGCGGUAACUUGAGGAUCUUAGCCGACUAUUUCUUAGAUCAUCCAGUUUACACAGAUGCCCAGUUCCAAAGGAGGUUUCGCAUGCAUUGCCAUGUGUUCGAGCGCCUCAUGGGGACAGUCCAACAGGUUGACCCGUACUUUGUAUAGCGUCCAAACUGCGCUGGAAAGAUGGGACUCUCCGCUUUGCAGAAGGUUGUUGCAGCCACCUACAUCCUCGCCUAUGGUGUUCCUGCAGAUGUUGUGGAUGAGUAAGUGUGCAUUGGAGAGUCCACCACACAUGAGGCUCUUCAACACUUAUAUAAGGCCAUCGUAGUUGCGUUUGAUCCGUACUACCUGCGCCCGCCUACUCCCGAUGAUAUCACGCAACUACUCCAAGUCGGUGAGUCAAGUGGCUUUCUAGGGAUGCUUGGAAGCAUCGAUUGCAUGCAUUGGGAGUGGCGAAACUGCCCUACCGCGUGGAAGGGUAUGUUCGCAUGGUGAGGGAAGCACCCCACCAUGAUCCUAAAAGCGGUUGCAUCUUAUGACCUUUGGAUAUGGCACGUGUACUUUUAGCAUGCCCGGUAGUAGUAAUGACAUCAACGUUUUUGCAUUGUUCACACAUAUUCUAAAGGCAUCUCAAUGCGGAGGAUCCUCCGAUUGCUUUCAUGAUAAACGAUCACAACUACGACAUGGGGUAUUACCUUACGGACGAUAUUUACCCUGAUUGGAUGGCUUUUGUGAAAACAGUCUGCCACCCUUUUGAGCCUCGCACAAAGCACUUUGCAAUGAAGCAAGAGUUCGCUAGAAAGGAUAUAGAAAGGGCGUUUGGUGUGCUUCAGUCUAGGUGGGCAGUGAUAUGUGGUCUUGCUUACGAUUGGUCGCCAGCCAACAUUCAUGACAUCAUGAUAGCAUGGAUCAUACUUCAUAAUAUGGUAGUUGAGGACGAAGGGCAUAUGGCCUGAAUGCUACCUUCGACAACACGGGUGAAUCUAUUGAUCCAACUCACGGAUCUCUCGAGGAACACAACGCUUUCAUCCUCAAACAACACGAGAAGCUUAAAGAUCCAAAGAAGUAUCAGGAACUGCAAAAGCACCUGAUCGAGCAUCACUAGACUCGUCUUGGCGUCGACAUUCCAUAGAAGGUUUACGUGGUCAUGUGGUUAGAGAGUCCACCAAUAAAAUUCAUUCUAUUGUGUUGUUAGCGUGCUUUGUAGUUCUUCAAAGUUUAGCAAGUUAGUUUGAUGUGUUCGUAUUGUUCAGGUGUGGCCGUGCAUGUAUCCGAAUUGAAGGUAGUGUGUUGUGUCUCUAUUGCUCCAAGUGAAAUGUGUGGUCCUUCAUGGAAGCUUUACAAGUA